AACGAACGCUGGCGGCAGGCCUAACACAUGCAAGUCGAGCGAGGACUUCGGUUCUAGCGGCGGACGGGUGAGUAACGCGUGGGAAUGUGCCCUUCUCUACGGAAUAGCCCUGGGAAACUGGGAGUAAUACCGUAUACGCCCUAUUGGGGAAAGAUUUAUCGGAGAAGGAUCAGCCCGCGUUGGAUUAGGUAGUUGGUGGGGUAAUGGCCUACCAAGCCAACGAUCCAUAGCUGGUUUGAGAGGAUGAUCAGCCACACUGGGACUGAGACACGGCCCAGACUCCUACGGGAGGCAGCAGUGGGGAAUCUUAGACAAUGGGGGCAACCCUGAUCUAGCCAUGCCGCGUGAGUGAUGAAGGCCUUAGGGUUGUAAAGCUCUUUCAGCUGGGAAGAUAAUGACGGUACCAGCAGAAGAAGCCCCGGCUAACUCCGUG
rnacentral:rRNA from 1 species